AAUUUCAUACCUGGAACGGGUGCCCGAGGCCAUUGUUCGGAAAGAGCGCUGGCUCGGGAAAACGGGAAGUCGGGUGCAAGUCCCGCGCGGUCCCGCCACUGUAACGAGGAACUGCCUUACAUGGCGCCACUGGGAAACUGGGAAGGCGUAGGGCGGUGAUGAAUCGAAGCCAGGAUACCGGCCCGUUUCCAAAAGAACUCU
rnacentral:ncRNA from 1 species